UUGUCCGUAAGGAGUCGGACUGCGUGUCCUGCGAUAAGUGGUAGCAAAGCGUGGAAAGCCCUUAUAAUUGCUAAAAGUUCGAGAUGAUUGAUGUGUAAUGUUUUUUCUUGAUUUGUCCAUAGGCCACGAAUCUUGUGAUGCAGACAGUGUGCUCCCCAACCAGAUGGGCUGGAAUCAGUGAUAACUUGUAUCAUUGUUUGAAGAGGCAAAAAGGGUUGUCCGACAAGGAGAUUCAGGUGAAAUGUCCACCAAAAUCUAGAGAUCGAGGCGAAGUCUUUGACUUCGAUGUAGACUUCGACUUCUCCUUAGGAUGGGGAGAAGGAGUCACAGAGCUGGAAGCAGGCAUGGAUGGAUUUUGCCACUCUAUUUGAGGGUCUGGAGAUUGAGCAGACUCCAUGGAGGCCAUAGAUGGGUUGAGAGAUUUCUCCCAAAGGUCUGUUCAACACAACGGAAAAAAAGGAACUGAGGGGACUUCUGGUGGGCAGAGCAUGCGCUCCAUGUGGGAAUGUCCCACUAAU